GGGGUCAUAGCAUAACCCGGUAGUGCGGCUGGCUCCAGACCAGCUGAUCGGGGUUCAAAUCCCCGUGACCCCA
rnacentral:tRNA from 1 species